AAACAGAACAUGCCCAUAGUUUCAUACUACAUUGGUUUCCAAUGGUAUGUCUCUGCCGAUCUCUUCAUAUCUCUGUUGAAAGUUUGAAUUUAUAAUCUCCUAUUAAACAGAGCCUCGGAAUUUAUGAGGGGUAUUCAUAAUCAUGGGAAUUUAUGAUUACGAUUUUAGUGCUAUUCAAAGUGUUAUGUAUGCCUGUGCAAAAUAAGUGUUGGUGACUAAAGAAAAUCUUUAUAGAUGCUAGAACACCAUACAUGCUUGCCAUGCUACGUCUACUUAUGAUAUGAGCAAAGGUGUUAGUUGUAAUUACUAUACACUAAAGUAGUCUGUAAGAUAGCCACAUCGAGAAGAAGCAGACAACAACAGGUAACCUCUAAAAAUUGUCAUCUCAUGAAAAUUGAAGACUGAACCGCUAAACUCUUGAUUCAUUUACAUAAGAGACGGUUUUGAGAACGCAUAUUACUAUAUUAGAUUCAUCAGAAGAAGUGCAUCUACUGGCUACUUCUUUGAUGUUGUGGGUAAAAUGAAGUAAUGCAGCUUAAUUUUCAGUUAUCUCCGGACAUGUUGCCAUUUUGUUGACAUACUUCCAUAAUUCAGGCUAAUUAUAUUAUCUUUUCACCAGAAGACAAUUGGUUAUUAGGUGAGCACGUUGUACCUCAACACCUCCAAACCAACGAGCAAACCAGAAGCGUCGCCAGCUCCUACACGAGGACCCAAGCCCAUCCUAGGUUAUAUUAUUCCAUUUGGUUCAGUGUCCAUUGUAGUCGGGCAGAUAAAUUAAAUUGACUUGGGUGUGGUCAGUUAUAUAAGGUGAACAGCUGAGCAGGUCACUUGCAGGUGGAACCUCCAGAAAUUGUGUGCACCCGGGAGGGGCGAAGAGGCUUGGGGGAGGACGCCUUGACGCUGGCAAAUAAUGGUCGGGCAUUCGUUUCCUUUGGGAUCCUAGAGUUUUAUAUGAUGAAUCUGGGAUCGAGUUCUUUGAUUUGUUGGUGCAGAUCAAGGAGUGUAUAAGUGGGCUAUCACUGCAGCAGUAAGGAGAUGACGUAGCAACAACACAUAGUAGUGCUUACAAGUGAGGGGAUUCCCAUUGGUUUGCAUGUUGCGGCAUUUUUUAGAUUUAUUUAGGGCAAAUUUCUGUUGUUUUAUGGCCUGUUUGGAGGUUUAUAUUGCUACUUUGCCAUGUAGACCCUUUUAUUCACGAUCCGAAUCAACAUGAAAAAUGGAAUUGAAGGUUUAUGAGGACGUGUCUAACCUGCAAUCCCACAUGAUUUUUUUGCACCAUAUGCAUUUUCCAACAGAACAAUAGAAAUUAUCUACUAAUCAGGGUGCAUAGGAAUAACUCAUACACGCAAUUCCUACAUAUGGAGAGUCAAAAGACUGACAUACUACUUUUGUCGAAUGCAUGCAGGAGCACUAUAGCUGCCCCAUUAUAUUAGAGGAGAAAGAAAUACACUACAAGAAUAUAGAACCUGAUCAUGCUACAAUUUUUUUUCUGUUUGUUUCAAAUUAUAUUUCUUUUCUUGGGUGAACACAAUAUAAUACUCAUUAUAUUAAAAAAUGUUCUUUUUGCAAAAAGAAUCCUAGAACCCAUGAAGAGUUUGUGAGUAAUAUUUAUUGUACUUAUGCAGAAUGCUUCUAUUUGAACUUUGAUGCCCUCAUGGUGCUAUGACUGCAAGAUAUUUGAACAAAAAGAGGGCAUCAUAUCAGGGAGACAAGCUGGAGUUGGAUGAGAAUUGAUGGAUGAGCUUGAAUUUCUUGAUGUUGCACUGUUAAUGUGGAGCUGGAGAACAUGACAUAUAAUCUCUCCAUGAUGAAUUUUUUCAGGGAGAGAACAAGUGUAUGUAAAAAGGGGUGCUCCGCAUGUUUAGUAGGAAGGCAGAGGAGGGGCCGGGGAAACCGGAGAGGGCGUAAGGAAGACAACGCGGUCAUUGGUGGCGGCAGCCGGACUAAGGCAUGGUGGUGGUGGUGCUUGAGCGUGGGUGUCUCCUCCGGAAGGAGAUGGCGCCUUCUUAUUAUACCAUAGAGGAUGGGGUAACCCGCCAGGUCAGGGACAUGUCAAUUCCUGGUGUAUCUGGUGAUUCAGGGUGUGGUUGAACAUCAGUGGCAUGGGACUCCACCUGGCCUCACCUUCUGUGUUAAAAUGAUGGCUCACAAGACUGAUCUAAUAUGCUUUGGAAGAUCUUAUGUUUUUGUAAACGACCUGAUGGCAAGUUGCUUUGCCUAAUAUAAUGUAAGUUGUUUGUGUUGGUCUCCACAAAAUUGAGAGUUGCUUGGAGGGAUAUUUGUGCAAAAAUUUAUUUAAGAGUAACUUGUGUUUGGUUA